CGAACGCUGGCGGCAGGCUUAACACAUGCAAGUCGAGCGGGCACUUCGGUGUCAGCGGCAGACGGGUGAGUAACACGUGGGAACGUACCCUUUGGUUCGGAAUAACGCUGGGAAACUAGCGCUAAUACCGGAUACGCCCUUUUGGGGAAAGGCUUGCUGCCGAAGGAUCGGCCCGCGUCUGAUUAGCUAGUUGGUGGGGUAAUGGCCUACCAAGGCGACGAUCAGUAGCUGGUCUGAGAGGAUGAUCAGCCACACUGGGACUGAGACACGGCCCAGACUCCUACGGGAGGCAGCAGUGGGGAAUAUUGGACAAUGGGCGCAAGCCUGAUCCAGCCAUGCCGCGUGAGUGAUGAAGGCCUUAGGGUUGUAAAGCUCUUUUGUCCGGGACGAUAAUGACGGUACCGGAAGAAUAAGCCCCGGCUAACUUCGUG
rnacentral:rRNA from 1 species